UCUAUAACUAUUUGCUUUAAACAGAUAAAAAGACCUGAUCAUGAAGCUUCCGGAGCUCGCUGGCCAUCAAAUUUCAGAUCUUGGCAAACAAUCACUUUUGAUAAACAACCUGCAUCUUUCAUCAGAAUAGUUGGAACUCGCAACACAGCUAAUGAGGUGUUUCACUGUGUACAUUUUGAGUGCCCAGCACAAAACAGUACCCACAAGGACGAGAGUAGUAAGGAAGCAGCAGCAACAGAGGUGGAGACUGGUGGACAGUAGCUUGUUUCUUUUCCUGUUGGAGCUGCAAGCACCUGGUUCCCUGCAUUCCCCUCCUGGAUCCACCUCACAUCCUCAUGUUCAUCAAUGAUAAAGUAGGUUGAAAGGGAGCUUUUGCAGCCCCACUGACAUUCUGCAAAAUUAUUCAGAACCUUCUUGUGCUGGCACCUUUUCUUUCUUUGUGAAUGAAGGGGACCAUGUCUGAACGCUGUAAGUAUUGAAAUGCAAAAGGCUUUUUCCCAAGGACAUGAAGAGACAGUUUCACUCUUCCUUGAUAUGUUCAAAUCAGGAUGGUCUCCAAGGGGGGAGAAAAUAGGUCUUCAAUCUUCAUCAAGUACCCCACUAACACCCUACCUCUCUAAUCUAACCAAGGCAAGGGAAAAAGGAAGGAAACAAAAGGCAGAGCUACAAAUCUAAAAUUAUUCAAGCAGAAUGGAAGGCAUACAAAAUAAGUAUUUGUUCCCUGGAGGCUUUUAUUAGCAAAAAAAAUGUUUAUGGAACACAUCAGUCCAGAAUAUAUUUUAUUUUUUAGGUGAUUCUCCAUUCAUAUUACCUUGUAACUAGUAAUCUGUUUUCUAAAUAAUUUUGAUUUUGUAUUCCACUUAAUUUCUUAUUUUUGGCUCUAGAAAAUGUUGUACAGUAGAUUAAGGAAGUAUCAGACAUGUUUACCUGCUGAGAUGCAAAUUCUCUCAUUCAUCAGUGGGAUGACAAGAAAAGCGUUCAUGAUAUCAACAAACUAAUUAAUGUAUCUGUAUUAAUAUUCACCUUAGUUGACUUUUCAGAGUAUAAAAUUGUCAUUUCCUACAUUCAAAAGGAAGUUUCUAAAUCAAACAUCUGUCUUGAAGAAAAUUGUAUUUUUUCACUCUUGAAGAUGAUUAUUUAAAUUUUGUCUGCCUAAGACAACUUGCAACAGAACAUCAAAAAUGUUCAGUUUAGAAAAGUGAAACUCCAUCUGGUCACUGACAAACAGUAGUUCAAAUUCCAAAAGAAGAAUUCACAGAUAAUUUACAUUUUUCCAGUAAGACUUGUUUUACAGUCUGGAGCUAAAAAUUCAAAGGCUGUCUAUGCAUUAACAUUUCUCAUGAUCUUCAUAAAAUGUGAUGCUUCUGCACCACAUUGCAAAAGAUCUGGUUCUUAAUUUACAGUCACAGAAUUUGUUAUCCAUCUAUAUCUGUCUGGAUUACACUGCCUGCUACUUCACUUAUUCUGUUUUCACACUGAUGAUGAUGUAGUCUUUUACUCUCCAGAUCUACGUGACUUUUAGGAAGAACUCCAUGCCAGUCUUUCAGUAUGGAAUAAAGAGAUAAUGUAUUAACACAAAUGCUGAUGUAAUUGGCAAAAUUGAUUAGGAUGCUUCUUUCUCCUCACAAAGUAUAUUAUAUUGGAAAUGUCAGCAAACCAGUUUUAUGAACUUGGAAUUUCCUGUGGUGAUAAAUAACCUUGUCAGAAGAAAACAAAGCUAGUGCAGGAUAAGUACGGUUUUCCUUUACAUAACCACAAUGACAAAAUGAGUUAUAUCAACGUAGCAAAUAGUAUGUUAAUUUAUCACACUACUUAAUUUGAAAUAAUUUUCCUGUUGGAUCCUGGUUGUGCUAAACCCAAGAAGAAAUAUAAUCAGUGGUAGCAAUGAAUCAGAGGAUAUUUAAAAUAAGAAAAGCAUCCCUUUUCUUUAAAAUAAAAUUGGUUAGGCUUUAUCGAUAAUAUUAUAGUUUUUUCAUUGCCAAAUUAGUUUUGUUCUGACAUUUGCAUACAGUUCCCUCCCUUCCCACUGCCAUAUUCUGACUUGUGAAUGUCUGUUGGUGAGGAUGGUUGCCCACUGUGCUGUAAAAAGCUUGUAAUUCAUGUGCCACAGCUGCCUUAGACAGUGCGGAGUUCUAAGGCAGGAUUCUGCUUGUGCCAGCCACUUCCCCCCAGUCUGCUGGGAUAAUUACCUUAUGGCUUAACAGCCUUUGGAACAUGGAAGAAUUGAGACCAGCUGUUGAGGACACCACUGUAAUGUUUAUGUAUAAGUCAAAAAAGUUCUAUUUUUUUUCCCUUUAAAAGCAGAAAACUUCUUCAGUUGCAAUCCAUGAUGGAACUGCUGAGAUGCCUAGAGCAUAUCUUGCUUUUGGUAGAUAAGUCCUUGCAUGGCAGUGGUGGUAUUUCUUUGCAGUUCCAUCAAACAAGUCUGCUUUUCUCAAACUGUGGGUAAGCAAAGGGCAUAACUUCCUAGCUGUUACUAUUUAGUAGCCACCCUUGUAGAGAAUGUAAAAAAAACUAAAAUAAAAAAGGUUGUGCCAUCUGUUCUGAGCCUAGGCUCUCAGAGAAAGAAUGGAAUUUUUCCAUCUGUAAUCUUUGAUGUGCAUCAUUAAUUUUUAUAAUGCAAGUAAGUCCUGUAGACUAUAACCUAUGGAACAUCUUUUUGAUCUUGUCUUGUAACUCACUGUGGAACAAAAAUGUCUCUUUAUUUCCCAUGAUAUUCACUCUCUCCCAAAAAUCUGGAUGAACAUAUCUGAGAUCCCCAAAGCAAAAACUCUAAGGUUCUACAGAGCCUUCAGUUUCCCACCCCCAUAAAACAAUACAAAGAAAAGCCAACUUUGCAUUAUCCCUUCAUGCAGUUGAAUAGCAAUUUUUUGUAUUAAACUUCUCAGUCACAAUGGCCUUCUCAGAGUAUUUUAUUUAGAGUUGCUCUGAGAACCUGUCAUCAAGGUGAGUCCAGUGAGCUUCCAGGCUUUUAAGGCAAGGCCUGCCACAAGCCCUUUACACUUUCAACCUUUCCCUCUUUAUUUAAAGAUGUAAUGUUUACAGAGAGCUGAACUCCACUGGGCCUUCUAAUAUUGCCCACCAACAAACACCCCUAAUACAUGUAUUGCCUAGAAGCGGUCUCUUGUCUUAAACAUUGUGUCAGCAAUGUAUUAGUAGUGACAAAGGAGGAUACAACACAGAACUGAUUUGUGGGUUUGUGUGCAUGUUCUCAUUCUUUCUAAUUAUUGUCAGUAUUUAUUGACUCCCAAGUUCAGAUGAAACUUCCUCUGAAGUUUUGUGGAAUUUUUUUUCCCUUUUCUUUUUUAUAUUUGCUUUUUCUUUCAGUGAAAGUAUGUUGUACUGUUAUGGUGUAGUAUCAAGGUUUAUCAAAGUGAUGAAAUGCUGUAAUUAUUCAGAACUGUGUAAUCAGUCUUUUCCUAUUUAGAAAAAGGUUAUUGCAGAACUGACCAGGUACUCAUUGCUUUCUUAUCAGAAACUAUAAAAUAGAUCUGUUGUUUGAGUUUUGAAUAAUGGAAAUAUCUGUACUGUCAAUAUUGAGCCAUUGAUUCUAUUUGGUACUUCAAUAUCUUUAAAUUCCCCAGGUCUCCUUUUCUCAAUUUUACUUCCAUAGGCUGAAUUCAGGCUGAGACUUAAAUCAUAUGGAGCUCAACAAAGGUCUUUCUAAAAUCUUCUUAUUUGGUUAACUUUUUCCAAAUGAAAAUAAAAGGUAUUUUAUUCACAGAAGGUAUUAUCUGAGGAAAUACAUUUUUGAAGUGAGCAAACAUUGUGCAGCUUACAAUUCUUCAGGAUACUUUUCAAGCCAUUUCCAAUCAGCUUUAAAACAAGUUUAAAUGGCUGUUAAAUGGAAUCACAAUGAGAGAAGGUAAUGCAAGUCUUAUGUAAAAGACAAUACAGAGGAGAAAUCACUAAUUUUGUUAGAAUAAGAACUCUUCAUUGCAGUUUCCUUCCUUCAGAGCUCCAUUUAUUUCUUCUUUUCUCCAUGAAAAUCAGUUUUUCUUACUCAUUAUGACUACUCAUGUAAGAGCUCAGUGCUUCUCAGCAUUGCUGAAAAAUUCAGUUUAAUGCAUCUUCAUCUUUAAUAAUGACAUCAGAGAAUUUUCAGUACCUGACUUUAUGAGAGUUGAUUUCCAUGAAAGCAAGCAAAAGAAGUCUGUAAUUAUUUCAGUCUAAUUAAAUUUUCAGUACAAAAAUUAGAUGACAGAAUUAAUGCCAUUCUUGUCUGAUUGUUGUGUCAUCAUAGUUCUGGUUAUAAAGUGAUGCCUAUUCAGAGAUGCUUAAUAAAGUAUUAGAACUUUGAUUUCAUAAGCUAUAGAUUGCAUAUCUAUGAAAAUAUUAAUUUGCUUAUAUUUUGACAGAGGUUAGUCUACUGUCAAAUAAACAAAUGAAUGCAUUGGUAAUUUUGUUGUUGUGGCUAGAUUAGUAAGCAAAUUAUAGAGGCAGUAAGAGUUAAUAUAUCCAAGAGUAAAUGAUUAGGCUUGUGCAUCAUCGUAUCAGUUGCCAGAGGACUAAACUAUGCUUCAAAAAUAAUUAUUGUUCACAGAAGAUGCUUGAGGCCUGGGUUCCAUCCCCAUCUCUCAGUUAAUGGUUCUAUUUAGGUUAGAAUCAUUAAUUCUCUCUGAUUGUUGUUGUCAGUUGUACUAGUUAACUCAUAUAUAUGUAGAAGCUCCACAAAGGUUUGUUCAGGAUACAGAAGUUAAAGGUCCCGAGCCAAGCUUUAGGACUGCUUAAAUACUCAUAUAGAUAUACAUAUAUGUAUAUAUGUGUGUGUGUGUGUGUGUGUGUGUGUGUGUGUGUGUGUGUGUGUGUGUGUAUACAUAUACGUAUAUAUAUAUAUAUAUAUGUGUGUGUGUAUAUGUGCAUUAAACUGAGGUCGUAGGUAAUUAUUUAGCUUACAUUUAGAAUAUAUUCUAAAGCUCCAAAAUUUAAAAAAAAAGAAAUCUGUGCAGGCAGGUGUGAAAUGCUGCUGUUGUGGUACGGCAGGAUGCUGGUUGCUUUUGAAGUGCGAAUGUGUAAAAAAGAUACAGGCAAACCAGUCCAAAGUUUUUGUCCAGUUGUUAAAUAUUGGCAAUUUGGCUGUAGUGAGGUGUACACAAUAUAGAGCAAGUUAAAUGCUCAUCUCAAAGAUGGGUGCAGUCUGAAGAACACAGAUAUUCCUCCUAGCUGCCUUGUCUGCCGUGGCUUGCAGUAUUUACAGAGAGAACCUUCAUAGGACUUCUGUUACCUGCUGAAAAAAAAACCUGCAGUCUUUUUGGCCCUUGCCAAGCUUUUAUUGCAAAGCUUUGGCUGAGGUAAUGACCAAGUGUGGAAUCUGGGUCUGUGUUUGAAUGUUUACAUGAAAAGGUUUAAAAUCACUCUGCAACUUUCUUUAGAUUAAGAAAGCCCAAUUAAAAAGUGCAGCAUAGUAUGAGGAAACUACAGGUAUCUGUCAUAUGCCCAUGUACUGACUGCCUGUGCAACCACAUACCUAUCUUAUCAUGCUGUAUGUGUUUAAUUACUCCAAUAUGUCCAGAUGGUGGAAGUAAAGAAUGGGCUCCAUACACUCAUGUCAUUAUCCAUUUUCACACAGCCAGUCAUUAGAGAAGUACUUCUUAUACUGUUCCUUGCUGGCCUAGUACAAUAAUACAAGUCAGUGUUCUAAAAAAAUCAUAAUAGAUUCCUUACAUGAACGUAAUGGAAUUGAAGUUCCAAUUACUAAAUAUUUGAAUGAGUGGUGGCAUCACCCUGCACAGGUGUAAACAUGCCUCUUCAUUGUCUCUUACUACUUUAGGCCCUGGGCUAUCACAGAGGAGGAGAGCUGCACUAUUGGUAAAAUGAAUUUUUAUUCAUCCUUUUUGUACUUAUCAUCUUGGCACAUCUAUUCGCUUUGUGCAGCUGCUCAAUUAAAACAAGUUUCUCAUCAUUUUCAGAAUUGUCCUUUGACUCCUGAAAUCUGCCAGAUUCGUAUCAACCACUUCAGUCAAUUAUAUUAAGUGGUCUGAAAAAUUUACUAAAUUAAUAUAGGAUGGUCUUUAACACCAAAUUCUUUGUGUCCAAAAAGUACCAGUUAAGUCCUGAAAUACCAAGUGAGUUGGACAGUUUUACUGCUAUGUGCCCUGUAAUCCAAGUGAACAGUAGUUCUCAUAGCAUCUUUCUGUAGAGGGAGGAAUCAGGGAAUCACAGAAUGAUUUGGUUGGAAGGGACUGCAAAGAUCAUUGAGUUCCCAACCUUCCUUCCAUGACAGGGACACAUUUUUCUAGACAGGUUGCUCAGAGACCCAUCCAAGUUGGUCUUGAACACUUCCAGGGAUGGGCAUCCACAGCUUCUCUGGGCAACCUGUUCCAGUGCUUCACCACCCUCACAGUAAAGAAUUUCUUCCUAGGACCUAAACCCACUCUCUGUCAGUUUUAAGCCAUUCCCCUUGUCCUUGUAGACAUCUCUCAUGUAGCCUCCUUUUAAGUAUGGACAGCAGCAGUCAGGUCAUCCAAAAGCCUUCUCUUUUACAGGCUGAGUAAUCCCAGUUCAGCCUUUCCUUCAUUCAUAUAAUUUGUGGUCUACAUCACCUAUCUGUUGUCUCUGUUCUCCUGAGCUAUAGUUGCUACAUAGUGAGAUUUGUGGUUGAUACCUAGAAUGGAAUAAGUGUGUUUAACCACAGAUGUUACGAAAUUUUUGUCUUUACUCAAAACUUUUAGCUUGUGCUUUGGAACAUGGUCAGGCCACAGAAUUGGCUUUUGGGCAUCUUCUAUGCUGUCUGUUGGAUUUUUGACUUAUCUUCAGUUGUUAAAAGAUGGUAAGAUUCCUCUCAAGAAUUUCUCAUAGAGAUUUGUCAGCUGAGAAAUGGCUUUUGAGACAAUCAUGACAGGUUCAUUGCUGGAGAACAGGAGCAGGUUUCUUCUCUUCUACAGGCCAGGAUCCUGGUUAGGUUAUUCUCCAAGUUUAUUUUUGCCAUUCUCAAUAACAAGGGUGUUGGUGUUGCGUGAUCUGGAUCUGUUUCAGAAAUUGUAUUACUUAUUUUGAGAGGUAAAUACUUAAUGUUUUUAUGCAGUAAUACAAAGCUCAUGAGGGCUGGAUGUUUAGAUUAGAAAUAUCACUUAAAGCAAGAGCUGGAGUUGCAAAAAGAGUAGUUUGGGGGAAAGAAAGACUGGUAUGGAAUUACGUGGUUGCAUCUAUGCAUAUGUAGCAAUGGAAAUGUAUUUGUUAAGCAAAAUGAGUGACUAUUUGCAAAGAUGUGUUUCUACACAGCCUAUUUUUUGUUAAAAAAUGGAAUUUUGUUAAGGAAUCUAUCAUUCAUCUGAGUGCUAAAAGAGAACAUAGGAAGUGAGGCUUUAGUAGUUUUUUUGGCAAGAGCAACACAAAGAUAAAAUUCUUGCAGUCUGAGCUAGUUCUGUUUGGCCCCAAUCUUUCCAGCUCUUCCUUUUUCCUACAUGCUUUCCCCAACCUGCUUCUUACUCCUUUUCUUUUCCUCCCUACAUAGCAUUGUAUCACUGUUGCUGGUGUGUUCCCUGUAAUUUUCCUCUGUAUUAUGAUGUAUUAAGGAAUUAUUAAAAAUUAUUUAUUUUUACCUCUUUAUCCUAUGUUGACUAAAAUAUCAUCAUCCCCUUUAAUUCACAUCAGAUUCUAAAGGCAACUACCACUAGGCUGUCAAGUGCUAGUGAGCAACAUUUGAAUUUGGCUUUCUAUGGAUGUGUGAAAUACUAGUCCUUUUGAACCUUAUAUUUCCGUGAUUUGAUUACAGUCUGUUACCCUUAAGAGAAAAAUAAGUAAGAAAUUUAUUGUUGACUUAGGAAGUAGGUCAGGUUUUACACUGGCUUACAUAACUUAAGUUUAAAUAUAAAUGUGAAGUAUUUCUUUCUCACCACGGUACACCAAAUGUAUGCUCAACUUGCUAGUUGUCCAUUGUCUAAGGCAUUAAUUGUACAUAAGUGCUCUUUCCUAAGUGAACUGCAUCAUCAAGAGUGAACCUUGAAAGAAUUCAUAACUUUUCAGUGUGUCUGUGUGAAGGUAUUUCAGCUGUCUAGGGAUCUGAACAUCACACUGACCACAUGGACUCAUUUUGUUAAGUACGGCAUUACUUCACAAUUUGGAUCCCCUGUCUAUUAACCUUAUCCAGUCUCUUGUAAAAUGUUCUUUCAUUUUUGCUUUGCUCAAUUUCACUAUUGUCUUUGGUUUUCUUUUUUAAGUGAAUGUUAAUGUUCAGAGCCAGGCUAAAUAGAAGUUUAGCUUUUAGUGAACUUUUUCACUUAUUCUCCUGUUAGUGGCUCCUCUUUCUUGACACACAGUAAUUUAAAUCCAUUUCACACUAUGUUACCAUCCCUUUCUCUGUAGCAAUUAUAAUUGUAUCUUGAAAUUUUUGUGUAUUAAAUUCCUUUCCUUCUUUCUCAUAGAGUGGUUCUAAACUACCUCAGACUUUGUUGUGAACAGGUAUAAGUUUUGGCUACAGUUUUUAGCCUCUAUUGUAAUCUUUGAAUGUUCUUUAAGUAUAUGUGUAUGUAGCAAAACCAGCCUGCCAGACCCUGACUGCAUUUUCAGGAAUACUGUCCCAAGCGAGACAUGUAAUUGGGAUGAAUUCACAGCCACACUGGCUGUUCAGGCUCUCGCUGAUACCUCUAUCAAGAAAAGUUUUUCAGGAGGGCAACUUCUGGUAUGGAAAGUGCUUCAGCUUUCUCUUUGAAGGGACAUGAUGCUGCCUGCACUAGAUGACUUCCACCUCUCCAUAAUCGCGACAAGCAUCAUAAAACUGCAUCAUCAGGCCUCCAUCCCUGGCUCCAGGAUACAUGCUGUUGCACUGGACUAUGUUCAUCAUAUGAGAACAAACCCCUCAUGAUGGUGUGUUCUCAUGACCUUGGUGUCAUUUUAUACUGCAGCAGAUGUGCAUUACCAACCCUUUGGGCUAUAAUUAGGUUUCAGGUAAAAUGGUGGUUGCAGAUUGUGCUGCAGUUGAUAACUUUGGGAAUUGUCUGGUUUUGUAAGUUAACAACCCAACAAACCAUGUUAGUGUUGAUUUUCUUUUCACCAGCAGACAUGUAUAUCAUCAAACAAGCAUUUUGUAACAUGGGAUUUUCUAUGAGCAUCCAGAAAAAGAAGCAUCCCAAUUAUUUUCUUAGUAGCAAUGUGUGUAUUUGUAAUGGAAGUUUUAGAAUUAUUAAACUACUGCAAGCUAUUUUGUGCAUGCUCUGGCAUUGUGUGAACAGUUUGUAUUAAUAGCUGAUAAGCAGAGGGCUGUGGCGAACAAGGAAGGCUGGCUGUAGAUUUUGCAGUUUCAAAGAGCAGCAGAGUGCCAGAAUGGAUGCAGGACCAGACUGCUCAAAGCAAAUCAUAAAGUGAAACUGUUGUGCUUUGUAUUUAUUUAUUUGGGGAUUCUUCUUCAAAAGUAUUUAACUUGACAGGAAAAUAUAAAGUAUAUUUAAAAUAGUAACAAUUAGAAAUACACCUUUUCAAGAAUGAGAGAGGUGUGAUUUGAAAAAUAAAGUGAUCUUUUGUGCUUAA